rnacentral:rRNA from 1 species
AUUGAACGCUGGCGGCAGGCCUAACACAUGCAAGUCGAGCGGAUGCAGGGGGCUUGCCCCUGGAUUCAGCGGCGGACGGGUGAGUAAUGCCUAGGAAUCUGCCUGGUAGUGGGGGAUAACGUCCGGAAACGGGGGCUAAUACCGCAUACGUCCUGAGGGAGAAAGUGGGGGACCUUCGGACCUCACGCUAUCAGAUGAGCCUAUGUCGGAUUAGCUAGUUGGUGGGGUAAAGGCCUACCAAGGCGACGAUCCGUAACUGGUCUGAGAGGAUGAUCAGUCACACUGGAACUGAGACACGGUCCAGACUCCUACGGGAGGCAGCAGUGGGGAAUAUUGGACAAUGGGCGAAAGCCUGAUCCAGCCAUGCCGCGUGUGUGAAGAAGGUCUUCGGAUUGUAAAGCACUUUAAGUUGGGAGGAAGGGCAGUAAGCUAAUACCUUGCUGUUUUGACGUUACCAACAGAAUAAGCACCGGCUAACUUCGUG